rnacentral:rRNA from 1 species
UACGGAGGAUGCAAGCGUUAUCCGGAUUCAUUGGGUUUAAAGGGUGCGCAGGCGGAAUGAUAAGUCAGUGGUGAAAUCCUGCAGCUUAACUGCAGAACUGCCAUUGAUACUGCCGUUCUUGAGUAUAGUUGAAGUGGGCGGAAUGUGUCAUGUAGCGGUGAAAUGCUUAGAUAUGACACAGAACACCGAUCGCGAAGGCAGCUCGCUAAACUAUAACUGACGCUCAUGCACGAAAGCGUGGGGAUCAAACAGGAUUAGAUACCCUGGUAGUCCACGCCGUAAACGAUGAUUACUCGAUGUUGGCGAUACACAGUCAGCGUCUAAGCGAAAGCAUUAAGUAAUCCACCUGGGGAGUACGUUCGCAAGGAUG